UACGGAGGAGGCAAGCGUUAUCCGGAUUUAUUGGGCGUAAAGCGUCCGCAGGUGGUUUUACAAGUCUGCUGUCAAAGCGCGAAGCUCAACUUCGUAUAGGCAGUGGAAACUGUAAGACUUGAGUGUGAUAGGGGCAGAGGGAAUUCCCAGUGUAGCGGUGAAAUGCGUAGAGAUUGGGAAGAACACCGGUGGCGAAGGCAACCACCUGGGCCUGUACUGACGCUGAGGUACGAAAGCGUGGGGAGCAAACAGG
rnacentral:rRNA from 1 species